GGGGAAGUAGCUCAGUGGUAGAGCUGCCGCUUCGUACGCGGGAAGACCCGGGUUGGAUUCCCAGCUGCUUUC
rfam:Toxocara canis scaffold863, whole genome shotgun sequence.